rfam:Saccharomyces kudriavzevii strain CR85 genome assembly, chromosome: 6
UAAUUCAAUUGAUCUUGACAAUUGGCGUAAUCCAGCCGUGAUUACGAU